AAGACCUUGCGCUUUUGGAGCGGCCGAUGCCUGAUUAGCUUGUUGGUAAGGUAAAAGCUUACCAAGGCUUCGAUCAGUAGCUGGUCUGAGAGGACGACCAGCCACACUGGGACUGAGACACGGCCCAGACUCCUACGGGAGGCAGCAGUGGGGAAUUUUGGACAAUGGGGGCAACCCUGAUCCAGCCAUGCCGCGUGAGUGAAGAAGGCCUUCGGGUUGUAAAGCUCUUUCAGCCGGAACGAAACGGUUACGGAUAAUACCCGUGACUACUGACGGUACCGGAUGAAGAAGCACCGGCUAACUACGUGCCAGCAGCCGCGGUAAUACGUAGGGUGCGAGCGUUAAUCGGAAUUACUGGGCGUAAAGCGUGCGCAGGUGGUUUUGUAAGUCAGAUGUGAAAGCCCCGGGCUCAACCUGGGAACU
rnacentral:rRNA from 1 species